rnacentral:rRNA from 1 species
CUUGGUCAUUUAGAGGAAGUAAAAGUCGUAACAAGGUCUCCGUAGGUGAACCUGCGGAGGGAUCAUUACACAAAUAUGAAGGCGGGCUGGAACCUCUCGGGGUUACAGCCUUGCUGAAUUAUUCACCCUUGUCUUUUGCGUACUUCUUGUUUCCUUGGUGGGUUCGCCCACCACUAGGACAAACAUAAACCUUUUGUAAUUGCAAUCAGCGUCAGUAACAAAUUAAUAAUUACAACUUUCAACAACGGAUCUCUUGGUUCUGCCAUCGAUGAAGAACGCAGCGAAAUGCGAUAAGUAGUGUGAAUUGCAGAAUUCAGUGAAUCAUCGGAUCUUUGAACGCACAUUGCGCCCUUUGGUAUUCCAUAGGGCAUGCCUGUUCGAGCGUCAUUUGUACCCUCAAGCUUUGCUUGGUGUUGGGCGUCUUGUCUCUAGCUUUGCUGGAGACUCGCCUUAAAGUAAUUGGCAGCCGGCCUACUGGUUUCGGAGCGCAGCACAAGUCGCACUCUCUAUCAGCAAAGGUCUAGCAUCCAUUAAGCCUUUUUUUCAACUUUUGACCUCGGAUCAGGUAGGGAU